GAUGAACGCUGGCGGCGUGCCUAAUACAUGCAAGUCGAGCGAACAGACGAGGAGCUUGCUCCUUUGACGUUAGCGGCGGACGGGUGAGUAACACGUGGAUAACCUACCUAUAAGACUGGGAUAACUUCGGGAAACCGGAGCUAAUACCGGAUAACAUGUUGAACCGCAUGGUUCAACAGUGAAAGACGGUUUUGCUGUCACUUAUAGAUGGAUCCGCGCCGCAUUAGCUAGUUGGUAAGGUAACGGCUUACCAAGGCAACGAUGCGUAGCCGACCUGAGAGGGUGAGCGGCCACCCUGGAACGGGGACACGGUCCAGACUCCUACGGGAGGCAGCCGUAGGGAAUCUUCCGCAAAGGGCGAAAGCCUGAAGGAGCAACGCCGCGUGAGUGAAGAAGGUCUUCGGAUCGUAAAGCUCUGUUAUUAGGGAAGAACAAAUGUGUAAGUAACUAUGCACGUCUUGACGGUACCUAAUCAGAAAGCCACGGCUAACUACGUG
rnacentral:rRNA from 1 species